AGUGAACGCUGGCGGUAGGCCUAACACAUGCAAGUCGAACGGCAGCACAGUAAGAGCUUGCUCUUACGGGUGGCGAGUGGCGGACGGGUUAGGAAUACAUCGGACUCUACUUUUUCGUGGGGGAUAACGUAGGGGAACUAAUGCUAAUACCGCAUACGACCUACGGGUGAAAGCAGGGGAUCUUCGGACCUUUCGCGAUGGAAGGAGCCGAUGUCGGAUUAGCUAGUUGGCGGGGUAAAGGCCCACCAAGGCGACGAUCCGUAGCUGGUCUGAGAGGACGAUCAGCCACACUGGAACUGAGACACGGUCCAGACUCCUACGGGAGGCAGCAGUGGGGAAUAUUGGACAAUGGGCGCAAGCCUGAUCCAGCAAUACCGCGUGUGUGAAGAAGGCCUUCGGGUUGUAAAGCACUUUUGUUCGGAAAGAAAAGCAGCAGGUUAAUACCCCGCUGUUAUGACGGUACCCAAAGAAUAAGCACCGGCUAACUUCGUG
rnacentral:rRNA from 1 species